CAUCUUUGCAUUUGUGUUAAUUUCUACCUUAGCAUUCAUCUCCACUCUCCAGUUUGACCUAAAGGAGACAUAUGACCAUAACUACAGGCCAGAACAUGAUUCGUGUAUUUCCUAAAGUACUUAGUGUAAGAGCAGGCAGAACUGAAAGUCGUCAAAGUACAAGAUAUUCAUGGUCCACAGAGGAUGAAUCAUACUGACUUUGAUGAGCACCUGACUUAACUUCAGUGCCACCAGCAGGUUGACAUUUGUGGUUCAGAGUGAAUUUCUUGAAAACUACUGGAUGUGUUGCCAUGAUAUUUGAUUCACACAUUCAUGUUCACCUCAGGUUGAAUUGUAAUUACUUUAUUCCCUUAACGUUUUUUGCUGCAUCAUCAGGUAAAAAUUUUUAUUUGUCCAGUGUUUUGGUUUAUGACCAAAUACCAGUAAAACUAAUUCCCAGCAGUCUCAGCUCUUUACUUUAUUUUUAGUGCUGAUAAGGAAAUGUUAGCAUGCUUACACACUAAAUAAGAUGGAAACGUUUUACUACAUUGUAAACGUUAUACUUGCUGAACAUCAGUAUGUUAGCAUUGUCACUGUGAGCAUGUUAGCUCAUUUAUUUCAUUAUGACAUAAAGAUGUCAAAAUGUUUUGCUGAAACAUUUUGCUAUAGAGGUUUAAUGCCCCUAUUGUAUGUUCCUUUGGAUAAAUGUGAUGGGUCCAAGAAAACCUACACCCCAAAUUAUUAUGC